rnacentral:rRNA from 1 species
UGGGGAAUAUUGGGCAAUGGAGGGAACUCUGACCCAGCCAUGCCGCGUGCAGGAUGAAGGCGUUAUGCGUUGUAAACUGCUUUUUAUAUAGGAAGAAAUAGUCCUUGCGAGGAAAGUUGACGGUACUAUAUGAAUAAGCACCGGCUAACUCCGUGCCAGCAGCCGCGGUAAUACGGAGGGUGCAAGCGUUGUCCGGAUUUAUUGGGUUUAAAGGGUGCGUAGGCGGUUUAUUAAGUCAGUGGUGAAAGACGGUCGCUCAACGAUUGCAGUGCCAUUGAUACUGGUAGACUUGAGUAUGAUUGAGGUAGCUGGAAUGGAUAGUGUAGCGGUGAAAUGCAUAGAUAUUAUCCAGAACACCAAUUGCGUAGGCAAGUUACUAAGUCAUAACUGACGCUGAGGCACGAAAGUGUGGGUAUCAAACAGGAUUAGAUACCCUAGUAGUCCCUGAGCGGGCUGGCAAGGCGCAU